rnacentral:rRNA from 1 species
CCUACGGGAGGCAGCAGUGGGGAAUCUUGCACAAUGGGCGAAAGCCUGAUGCAGCAACGCCGCGUGGGGGAUGAAGGCCCUCGGGUUGUAAACCCCUUUCAGCAGGGACGCGGUACCUGCAGAAGAAGCCCCGGCCAACUACGUGCCAGCAGCCGCGGUAACACGUAGGGGGCAAGCGUUGUCCGGAUUUAUUGGGCGUAAGAGCUCGUAGGCUGUUCGAUAAGUCGGGUGUGAAACCUCCAGGCUCAACCUGGAGACGCCACCCGAUACUGCAUGACUAGAGUCCGGUAGGGGAGCGUGGAAUUCCUGGUGUAGCGGUGAAAUGCGCAGAUAUCAGGAGGAACACCAGCGGCGAAGCGGCGCUCUGGGCCGGACUGACGCUGAGGAGCGAAAGCGUGGGUAGCAAACAGGAUUAGAUACCCUUGUAGUC